GUGCACCAGGCGCGAAACUUUACAAUGUGCGAAAGCACGAUAAGGGAACUCUGAGUGCCUCCUAAGGAGGCUGUUCAGGUGUCUAAAAAGCACCUGAAGGAAGGGCUGGGUAAGACCGGUGCCAGCCGCCGCGGUAACACCGGCAGCCCAAGUGGUAGCCACGUUUAUUGGGUCUAAAGCGUCCGUAGCCGGCUGGGUAAGUUCCUUGGGAAAUUUGGCUGCUUAACAGUCAAGCUUUCAGGGAAUACUGCCCGGCUUGGGACCGGGAGAGGUCAGAGGUACUCCAGGGGUAGGGGUGAAAAUCCAUUAAUCCUUGGGGGACCACCGGUAGCGAAGGCGUCUGACCAGACCGGGUCCGACGGUGAGGGACGAAGGCUA
rnacentral:rRNA from 1 species